UACGUAGGGUGCGAGCGUUGUCCGGAAUUAUUGGGCGUAAAGGGCUCGUAGGCGGUUUGUCGCGUCGGGAGUGAAAACCUUGGGCUUAACUCAGGGCUUGCUUUCGAUACGGGCAGACUAGAGGUAUGCAGGGGAGAACGGAAUUCCUGGUGUAGCGGUGAAAUGCGCAGAUAUCAGGAGGAACACCGGUGGCGAAGGCGGUUCUCUGGGACGGUACUGACGCUGAGGCGCGAAAGCGUGGGGAGCGAACAGG
rnacentral:rRNA from 1 species